AAUUAUUUAGUUUAUAUAAAACAGAUAUUUUGAAAAUAUCCAAAAAGAAAAAAAUUCUUAAUAAUUG
rnacentral:tRNA from 1 species